UGGGGUGUAGCUCAGUGGUAGAGCACUUGCUUAGCAUUUGAGAAACCCUGGUUUCCAUCCCUAGCACCUCAA
rnacentral:tRNA from 1 species